rnacentral:rRNA from 1 species
AUUGAACGCUGGCGGCAGGCCUAACACACGCAAGUCGAGCGGAUGAAGGGAGCUUGCUCCUGGAUUCAGCGGCGGACGGGUGAGUAAUGCCUAGGAAUCUGCCUGGUAGUGGGGGAUAACGUCCGGAAACGGGCGCUAAUACCGCAUACGUCCUGAGGGAGAAAGUGGGGGAUCUUCGGACCUCACGCUAUCAGAUGAGCCUAGGUCGGCUUAGCUAGUUGGUGGGGUAAAGGCCUACCAAGGCGACGAUCCGUAACUGGUCUGAGAGGAUGAUCAGUCACACUGGAACUGAGACACGGUCCAGACUCCUACGGGAGGCAGCAGUGGGGAAUAUUGGACAAUGGGCGAAAGCCUGAUCCAGCCAUGCCGCGUGUGCGAAGAAGGUCUUCGGAUUGUAAAGCACUUUAGGUUGGGAGGAAGGGCAGUAAGUUAAUACCUUGCUGUUUUGACGUUACCAACAGAAUAAGCACCGGCUAACUUCGUG